AGCUCCAAUAGCGUAUAUUAAAGUUGUUGCGGUUAAAAAGCUCGUAGUUGGAUCUCGACUUAUGUCAAAUGGUCCACCUCUCGGUGGUUACUGUUUGCACUGAGUUCACCUUCGGAUUUGUCUUUUGUGUGCUCUUCACCGAGUGUCUUAAGCGAUCCGUUCGUUUACUUUGAACAAAUUAGAGUGCUUCAAGCAGGCAUCUCUUGCCCGAAUAAUCUUGCAUGGAAUAAUGGAAUAGGACUUCGGGUCCUUUCUGUUGGUCAUUUUGGCCUGAAGUAAUGAUUAAGAGGGACAGACGGGGGCAUUAGUAUUGCGGCGCUAGAGGUGAAAUUCUUGGACCGUCGCAAGACUAACAACAGCGAAAGCAUUUGCCAAGAAUGUUUUCA
rnacentral:rRNA from 1 species